rnacentral:lncRNA from 1 species
GAAAUAUAUAGGAGGAAAACCCAAGGGGGGACCAAGGAGACUGCAGACUGGACACAGAAAAAAAAAAAAAAAAAAAAAAAAAAAGUAUUUAUGCAUGUGUUUAUUUAUUGAAAAAUAUAGGAGGGAAAAACCCAAGGGGACAAGAGGACUGAAAAAAAAAAAAAAAAAAAAAAAAAAAAGUAUUCAUGCAUGUGUUUAUUUAUUGAAAUAUAUAGGAGGGAAAACCCAAGGGGGGACCAAGAGGGACUGCAGAUGGACACAGAAAAAAAAAAAAAAAAAAAAAAAAAAAAAAAAAAAAAAAAAAAAAAAAAAAAAAAAAAAAAAAAAAAAAAAAAAAAAAAAAAAAAAAAAAAAAAAAAAAAAAAAAAAAAAAAAAAAAAAAAAAAAGUAUUCAUGCAUGUGUUUAUUUAUUGAAAUAUAUAGGAGGGAAAACCCAAGGGGGGACCAAGAGGACUGCAGACUGGACACAGAAAAAAAAAAAAAAAAAAAGUAUUCAUGCAUGUGUUUAUGUAUUGAAAUAUAUAGGAGGGAAAACCCAAGGGGGGACCAAGAGGACUGCAGACUGGACACAGAAAAAAAAAAAAAAAAAAAAAGUAUUCAUGCAUGUGUUUAUGUAUUGAAAUGUAGAUACUUUUAUGAGGAAUGUGUCCGUGUACUUACAUUUUUCAAAAGAUAAUCUUCAAUGGUAAGACUUGUUUUAUUCGCGCCUCUUCUGGUGUAGCAUAUAACGUGAGUUUUAUUUAGGCAUAUCAGAUGCAUAGCGUGUGUAAUGUGUAGGCCAUUUCAUUCCGUUCUUGCAAUGUGAAUAAUUCAUUUCAAUAUGCUUAUAUCCCUUUUGUGCGCGCUUGUGCGUUUAACGGGGCUUGUUUGUGUGAGCCAGUGCAUUUAUCAUUCAUCUGUUGAUGCUCGAGUUUAAUAAAGGCAGGCUAUUCUUAAGAAACGUAUGUAAA